GACGAACGCUGGCGGCGUGCUUAACACAUGCAAGUCGAACGGAAAGGCCCUGCAUUUGUGGGGUGCUCGAGUGGCGAACGGGUGAGUAACACGUGAGUAACCUGCCCUUGACUUUGGGAUAACUUCAGGGAACUGGGGCUCAUACCGGAUAGGAGCUCCUGCUGCAUGGGGGGGGUGGGAAAGUUUCGGCGGUUGGGGAUGGACUCGCGGUUUAUCAGCUUGUUGGUGGGGUAGUGGCUUACCAAGGCUUUGACGGGUAGCCGGCCUGAGAGGGUGACCGGCCACAUUGGGACUGAGAUAGGGGCCAGACUCAUACGGGAGGCAGCAGUGGGGAAUAUUGCAAAAUGCGCGGAAGCCUGAUGCAGCAACGCCGCGUGCGGGAUGACGGCCUUCGGGUUGUAAACCGCUUUAGACUGUGACGAAGCGUGAGUGACGGUAAUGGGUAAAGAAGCACCGGCUAACUACGUG
rnacentral:rRNA from 1 species